GGCAGCUCUGCAGCAGGGCCCUUUCAGGAAUACCUUGGUGGGGUCACAAGGUGUGGGAGGUCACAUACAGACCUGCCCUCCCCUGGGACAACGAACAGAAGGACGUGGCUUUGCUGCCUCUUUGCCUUAAGGCACACAGUAUGGUCAGAAAUAUGUGGUCCUGCAAGACCAGAAUUUCCAAGGAAUGGAUUCUCUCCAUGGUAUCUAAUCCUAGAUGGGCCAAGACUUAAAGUUCCCUGUGUCAGACCAUCUACAGACAGAAGUGAACUUCAUGAGACUGAGGGAAGACAAAAAGAUCCACUGAAGCCAUUAGACAAAUUAUUUGAGAUGUCUUGCAAGUAACAGUUUCUUGGUAUAACAGGAAUUUAAAAUAAAUAUGAUUCCACUGCUCUGAGAACCGAA